rnacentral:lncRNA from 1 species
GCGCAAGUUGCCAUACAAAAGACGUGUUUACCCUUAAAUUUUGAUUUCUAAAUUGUUUUUGUGUCAUAUCUCCAAUGUCCUUGCCCUCAUUUUCAUGGUUCAGUGACUACUUGAAAAAAAAAGAUCAGAUCUUUCGUAAUGUUGAAUUCUCUCUUAUAAGUAAAAUACCUAUGUUUGGUAUGUGCGUACCUUGCAAGGUCCUUAUGCCCACC